rnacentral:rRNA from 1 species
GUAGGUGGCAAGCGUUGUCCGGAAUUAUUGGGCGUAAAGCGCGCGCAGGCGGUUCUUUAAGUCUGAUGUGAAAGCCCACGGGCUCAACCGUGGAGGGUCAUUGGAAACUGGAGAACUUGAGUACAGAAGAGGAAAGCGGAAUUCCACGUGUAGCGGUGAAAUGCGUGGAGAUGUGGAGGAACACCAGUGGCGAGGGCGGCUAUCUGGUCUGUAACUGACGCUGAGGCGCGAAAGCGUGGGGAGCAAACAGGAUUAGAUACCCUGGUAGUCCACGCCGUAAACGAUGAGUGCUAAGUGUUAGGGGGUUUCCGCCCCUUAGUGCUGCAGCUAACGCAUUAAGCACCCCGCCUGGGGAGUACGGCCGCAAGGCUG